CCUACGGGGCGCAGCAGUGGGGAAUAUUGCACAAUGGGGGAAACCCUGAUGCAGCGACGCCGCGUGAGUGAAGAAGUAUUUCGGUAUGUAAAGCUCUAUCAGCAGGGAAGAUAAUGACGGUACCUGAGUAAGAAGCCCCGGCUAACUACGUGCCAGCAGCCGCGGUAAUACGUAGGGGGCAAGCGUUAUCCGGAUUUACUGGGUGUAAAGGGAGCGUAGACGGCAUGGCAAGUCUGAAGUGAAAGGCACCGGCUCAACCGGUACAGGCUCUGGAAACUGGCGGGCUAGAGAGCAGGCGAGGGCGG
rnacentral:rRNA from 1 species